AUACGGCCAUAUCUCUUUGAAACGCCGUUUCCCGUAACGACUACCGAAAUUAAGCUUCCUUGAGCCAGGUCAGGACCUAGAUCGGUGACUGCUUGGGAGCACCAUGUGCU